GGACGUUUAGCUCAGCUGGUAGAGCGUUUGCUUGACGUGCAAAAGGUCAGCGGUUCGAAACCGUUAACGUCCACCA
rnacentral:tRNA from 1 species